rnacentral:rRNA from 1 species
GAUCAGUGGCUCAGGACGAACGCUGGCGGUGUGCUUCACACAUGCAAGUCGAACGAGGUAGCAAUACCUAGUGGCGGACGGGUGAGUAACGCGUGGGAAUCUGCCUUUAGAUGGGGGAUAACGGGUCGAAAGACUCGCUAAUACCGCAUAUGACGAAAGUUGAAAGGAGUAAUCCGUCUAAAGAUGAGCCCGCGUCCGAUUAGCUAGUUGGUAGAGUAAAAGCCUACCAAGGCGACGAUCGGUAGCUGGUCUGAGAGGAUGAUCAGCCACAAUGGGACUGAGACACGGCCCAUACUCCUACGGGAGGCGGCAGUGGGGAAUUUUACGCAAUGGGCGAAAGCCUGACGUAGCGACACCGCGUGAGCGAAGAAGCCCCUUGGGGUGUAAAGCUCUGUCAGCUGGAACGAAAAAAUGACGGUACCAGCAGAGGAAGCAUCGGCUAACUACGUG